UUGUCUGUACUCGACAUCGCCCCUUUGGAAUAUACACAGCGGCAGGAAACAUUUUAACGUCUCUUUUUCCAGGCCCCGGCUAACCUAUCAUGACCCUAAACAAGAUCAUGUCCAUGAAAGUGCCUUAUAAACAGUAAAGUGCCAGAUAAGGAACAGAAGCACAAGCAGG